UACGUAGGGCGCAAGCGUUGUCCGGAAUUAUUGGGCGUAAAGAGCUCGUAGGCGGCUUGUCACGUCGGGUGUGAAAGCCCGGGGCUUAACCCCGGGUCUGCAUUCGAUACGGGCUAGCUAGAGUGUGGUAGGGGAGAUCGGAAUUCCUGGUAUAGCGGUGAAAUGCGCAGAUAUCAGGAGGAACACCGGUGGCGAAGGCGGAUCUCUGGGCCAUUACUGACGCUGAGGAGCGAAAGCGUGGGGAGCGAACAGG
rnacentral:rRNA from 1 species